rnacentral:rRNA from 1 species
CUGCUGCCUUCCGUAGGAGUCUGGGCCGUGUCUCAGUCCCAGUGUGGCCGUCCGCCCUCUCAGGCCGGCUACUGAUCGUCGCUUUGGUAGGCCGUUACCCUGCCAACUGGCUAAUCAGACGCGGGCCCAUCCUGUACCACCGGAGUUUUCAGGGAAAAGCCAUGCGGCUUCCCCCGUUAUGCGGUAUUAGCACCUAUUUCUAAGUGUUAUCCCCCUGUACAGGCCAGGUUGCCCACGCGUUACUCACCCGUCCGCCACUCAUG